rnacentral:rRNA from 1 species
ACUCCUACGGGAGGCAGCAGUGGGGAAUAUUGCACAAUGGGGAAACCCUGAUGCAGCCAUGCCGCGUGUGUGAAGAAGGCCUUCGGUUGUAAAGCACUUUCAGUAGGGAGGAAGGUAGUGUAGUUAACACCUGCAUUAUUUGACGUUACCUACAGAAGAAGCACCGGCUAACUCCGUGCCAGCAGCCGCGGUAAUACGGAGGGGUGCGAGCGUUAAUCGGAAUUACUGGGCGUAAAGCGCAUGCAGGCGGCCUGUUAAGUCAGAUGUGAAAGCCCGGGGGCUUAACCUCGGAAUUGCAUUUGAAACUGGCAGGCUAGAGUCUUGUAGAGGGGGUAGAAUUUCGGAG